rnacentral:rRNA from 1 species
UACGGAGGGUGCAAGCGUUAUCCGGAUUCACUGGGUUUAAAGGGUGCGUAGGCGGGUAUAUAAGUCAGUGGUGAAAGCUCCGGGCUUAACUUGGAAAUUGCCAUUGAUACUGUAUAUCUUGAAUAUCGUAGAGGUUAGCGGAAUGUUGCAUGUAGCGGUGAAAUGCUUAGAUAUGUUACAGAACACCAAUUGCGAAGGCAGCUAACUAUGCGAUGAUUGACGCUGAGGCACGAAAGCGUGGGGAGCGAACCGG